AGCGCUCGCCGCUCGUCCCCGUGAGCUUGAAUCAUCCGACCCCGCAGGCCUCUCGGGGACGUCGUAUAAAGGGCCGCUGCCGGGAUCUCUACAUAUUUCCCAGCAGUUUUCAUGUUGCUUCUGCCUCCAGAGUCUUCUCUUCACAAGGUUGCUGCAGUUGCCUUACGAACUCAAUGAAACCACCUUUCCUGGAGUCCAGACACCUGGGAAAUAACCACCGACUGGUAUCCCUACUUGCUGUUCAUUUCAUGAAGGGGAGACCUCCCUUUUUGACUUUAAAUACAACUGCUGAGAAAUGUGCUUCCAUUUCACCUUGUGGCAUGCUUGAGGUGAUUUUUAAGGCAUUCUUUAUGGAAAUAUUAGUACUUAUGGUACAAGUGUUAGCAGUUAUGGUUUAUUAUUAAACUGGAGCUGGAAUUUGAAUGCUGACGCUGCCACUUACUCACAGUGUGACCUCAGUUUCCUUAUUUGUAAAAUGAGAUAUUCUCAUUGUCUCACAAAGUUUUUUUCUGAGCCUCAGCUAAAAGAAAAAAAAAAUUAAGUUAAAGUGAUUUUGGUACUUGAAAGUGCCAUGCAAAUGUAAGGCACUAUUAGCAUUUUGUAAAAUGUCAUUUCUUUAAGAGUAAAACCAUUCAUUAAGAAAAAAAUCAAA